GAUGAACGCUGGCGGCGUGCCUAAUACAUGCAAGUCGAGCGAACGGACGAGAAGCUUGCUUCUCUGAUGUUAGCGGCGGACGGGUGAGUAACACGUGGAUAACCUACCUAUAAGACUGGGAUAACUUCGGGAAACCGGAGCUACUACCGGAUAAUAUUUUGAACCGCAUGGUUCAAAAGUGAAAGACGGUCUUUCUGUCACUUAUAGCUGGAUCCGCGCUGCAUUAGCUAGUUGGUAAGGUAACGGCUUACCAAGGCAACGAUGCAUAGCCGACCUGAGAGGGUGAUCGGCCACACUGGAACUGAGACACGGUCCAGAGUCCUACGGGAGGCAGCAGUAGGGAAUCUUCCGCAAUGGGCGAAAGCCUGACGGAGCAACGCCGCGUGAGUGAUGAAGGUCUUCGGAUCGUAAAACUCUGUUAUGAGGGAAGAACAUAUGUGUAAGUAACUGUGCACAUCUUGACGGUACCUAAUCAGAAAGCCACGGCUAACUACGUG
rnacentral:rRNA from 1 species